AACGAACGCUGGCGGCAGGCCUAACACAUGCAAGUCGAGCGAACCCUUCGGGGUUAGCGGCGGACGGGUUAGUAACGCGUGGGAAUAUACCCUUUGGUACGGAAUAGCCUCGGGAAACUGAGAGUAAUACCGUAUGUGCCCUUCGGGGAAAGAUUAUCGCCAAAGGAUUAGCCCGCGUUGGAUUAGAUAGUUGGUGGGGUAAUGGCCUACCAAGUCUACGAUCCAUAGCUGGUUUGAGAGGAUGAUCAGCAACACUGGGACUGAGACACGGCCCAGACUCCUACGGGAGGCAGCAGUGGGGAAUCUUAGACAAUGGGCGCAAGCCUGAUCUAGCCAUGCCGCGUGAGUGAUGAAGGCCUUAGGGUUGUAAAGACUCUUUCAGAUGGGAAGGAUAAUGACGGUACCAUCAGAAGAAG
rnacentral:rRNA from 1 species